rnacentral:lncRNA from 1 species
GAUAGGAUUUUGGCCAUAACAAUGGUAUAGUCCAUAGAUAUUAUUUCUACUAUUAUUAUUUUAUUUUAAUAAGAUGGUAUAUUAUGAGGUUAAUGUGAUGCUUCUAAUGAUGGAAUUAGAAGACUUAAUAGAAUUUCUUGUAUUUGUCACCAAUAUUGGUUCGCUUAUGAGGUAUUUAAUGAUGUUGUUGAUUGUUAGGGAUUUUUUUUAUUUAAUGUUCU